CAAGCCAGUGUCGAGGCUUUUUCCUCCUUUCCUUUUCGUGAGACUGAUCACAACGUUGCCAGGACACGGGGGCUCCCUUGUUCUCUGCUCUGGAGUUGGGCUUGACCUGCUUCGAAGGAGUCGGAUUUCAAACACCUGCUCACACGCUGUACCAAGUGUCAUCACUUACUGUCUCUGGGAACAAUGAAUUCUUGUCAGUGUGCCAGCUGCUUCCUGCCAGGACCCUGACAAAGAGGCGCUCCCGGCAGGAACCUUCUAGGAGUCCUUUUCUCGCUUUCUACCUGAUGGCAGUGGGAACAGCUAUGCUGGGCAAAGAAAAGGACUGCCCCGACGGUGGGUUAGAGCUUCCUGAUGACAGCAGAGUCAGGCUCAAGCGUACCUCACUUGGAAGAGGAACUGUGGGACACAGAUUCAAAACACCCUUUUUUGGCUUCUUUCCAAUCCCCCCAGCUCACUAAAUCCUUGACCUGGAAGAAUAAAAUCACAAUAAGUUUAAGCUCUUCCUAGCUCCCUUUAUCUGGGUCUA